AAUGAGCACUGCGCUCCUGAAAGAGAAUCCACUCUGCCUGAAGGAGGGUGGCAGUUGAACCAAUUGUAGCACAAGGCCCCCUGAAAGAGGCUAAUAGCAGGGGAGCAGGAACAGUGAGCCAAUGGCACCCCAGCGAUAUGCCUGCUUAGUCACUCUGGGAGGACACAAAGUGAGAGAAGAAAGGGCUCUGGAUCUGAGCUGGAAGAUCUAGCUCAGCAGACUCCAUCACAUGUUGGAGUGGGCACCAAACAAUACCAGAAUAACAUUCCCCUCUCUGGUCUCAAAAGAUGGAUGAGCCUCCAUGACCCCAUGAGAACAGAGGCAACCAGGGAAAAUCAACAGGGAUUGUUAAUAGAGAUAAGCCCACGCUGGACAGCAGAAGCCAUUGGCCAGGCACACAGCAGAGGAUCCAGCCUGCUGUUUGUAAUAAACUCUGAAAUGUGUGUCUAG
rnacentral:lncRNA from 12 species